rnacentral:rRNA from 1 species
AUUGAACGCUGGCGGCAGGCCUAACACAUGCAAGUCGAACGAGUGGCGGACGGGUGAGUAAUGUCUGGGAAACUGCCCGAUGGAGGGGGAUAACUACUGGAAACGGUCGCUAAUACCGCAUACCAUCAGAUGUGCCCAGCGGGGAUUAGCUAGUUGGUGGGGUAACGGCUCACAAAGGCGACGAUCCCUAGCUGGGCUGAGAGGAUGACCAGCCACACUGGAACUGAGACACGGCCCAGCUUCCUCCGGAGGGCAGCAGUGGGGAAUAUUGCACAAUGGGCGAAAGCCUGAUGCCGCCAUGCCGCGUGUAUGAAGCAGGCCUUCGGGUUGUAAAGUACUUUCAGCGGGGAGGCGUUACCCGCAGAAGAAGCACCGGCUAACUCCGUGCCAGCAGCCGCGGUAAUUC